rnacentral:rRNA from 1 species
GGGCCCGCACAAGCGGUGGAGUAUGUGGUUUAAUUCGAUGCAACGCGAAGAACCUUACCAGGGUUUGACAUCCUGCGAAUCUCUUGGAAACGAGAGAGUGCCUUCGGGAACGCAGUGACAGGUGGUGCAUGGCUGUCGUCAGCUCGUGUCGUGAGAUGUUGGGUUAAGUCCCGCAACGAGCGCAACCCACGUCUUUAGUUGCCAGCAUUUAGUUGGGCACUCUAGAGAGACUGCCGGUGAUAAACCGGAGGAAGGUGUGGAUGACGUCAAGUCAUCAUGCCCCUUACAUCCUGGGCUACACACGUACUACAAUGCUACGGACAAAGGGCAGCAAACUCGCGAGAGCUAGCAAAUCCCAUAAACCGUGGCUCAGUUCAGAUCGUAGGCUGCAACUCGCCUACGUG